AAUUCCAGCUCCAAUAGCGUAUAUUAAAGUUGUUGCAGUUAAAAAGCUCGUAGUUGAAACUUGGGCCUGGCUGGCGGGUCCGCCUCACCGCGUGCACUCGUCCGGCCGGGCCUUCCUUCUGAAGAACCUCAUGCCCUUCACUGGGCGUGUUGGGGAAUCAGGACUUUUACAUUGAAAAAAUUAGAGUGUUCAAAGCAGGCCUUUGCUCGAAUACGUUAGCAUGGAAUAAUAAAAUAGGGCGUGCGUUUCUAUUUUGUUGGUUUCUAGAGACGCCGCAAUGAUUAACAGGAACAGUCGGGGGCAUCAGUAUUCAGUUGUCAGAGGUGAAAUUCUUGGAUUUACUGAAGACUAACUACUGCGAAAGCAUUUGCCAAGGAUGUUUUCAUUAAUCAGUGAACGAAAGUUAGGGGAUCGAAGACGAUCAGAUAUCGUCGUAGUCUUAACCGUAAACUAUGCCGACUAGGGAUCGGG
rnacentral:rRNA from 1 species